GAUGAACGCUGGCGGCGUGCCUAAUACAUGCAAGUCGAGCGAACGGACGAGAAGCUUGCUUCUCUGAUGUUAGCGGCGGACGGGUGAGUAACACGUGGAUAACCUACCUAUAAGACUGGGAUAACUUCGGGAAACCGGAGCUAAUACCGGAUAAUAUUUUGAACCGCAUGGUUCAAAAGUGAAAGACGGUCUUGCUGUCACUUAUAGAUGGAUCCGCGCUGCAUUAGCUAGUUGGUAAGGUAACGGCUUACCAAGGCAACGAUGCAUAGCCGACCUGAGAGGGUGAUCGGCCACACUGGAACUGAGACACGGUCCAGACUCCUACGGGAGGCAGCAGUAGGGAAUCUUCCGCAAUGGGCGAAAGCCUGACGGGGCAACGCCGCGUGAGUGAUGAAGGUCUUCGGAUCGUAAAACUCUGUUAUUAGGGAAGAACAUAUGUGUAAGUAACUGCGCACAUCUUGACGGUACCUAAUCAGAAAGCCACGGCUAACUACGUG
rnacentral:rRNA from 1 species